CAAGUUCCCGUCUCGGUAUCUAAAUCGGAGAUUUUUAUCCGAGACUUGCUUAAAUUGGUACUACACGUGCGUUCCCGUCACUACGGAAAAUGAUGAACUCUCCGGGUUGUUCGGUGAUCUACGAUGUUCAGCGAGGAAUCGCACCUAUUCAUCACGGUGGACCGGUCGCCGUCCUUCAGGUGGCUAGCAACCCUAGACGAAGUACCUACCGCGGACCUUCUUCGAGUUACUGGUCUGGUAGCAGGAGAGGUUCUCCUCCGAUGCCGAUCGAGUGGUGUCGAGCGAGGAGGGACAAAGAAGAAGCUACUGACAGAUAUAUUUGUGUUUUAAAUGAAGUACACCACACGGGUAUAUCACACCUACUGAUUAACUAUAGCAGUCUUCAAGUAAUAGUAACUGUACGUUAAUUACAUAAAAGUGUUCUAUGAGAGAACCAAUUGACGCUUAUCGUAAUCGACGGUUGACGAUCGCGAUCCAACACC
rnacentral:rRNA from 1 species